rnacentral:lncRNA from 1 species
GGAAGAUGCUGGAGUGGGUGGCAAAUAUGCAAUGUAGCACUGACUGAAACAAGUCAGACGGAGCCAAAGCCUCCCGUUGUAUAAAGAUCCCAGAGAGUGGAGUUACUUUACAGGCACUUUAGUAAUGAUACUUGUUAGGAGUGAAAUUUAGUUUGGAGAAGGCGCCAUAUCAAGAAAUCCUUGGCAUUAGCCCAGAGUAGAGCUUGUAUUUUCCUUUGGCUUGGGCAUAUUUCCCCCACCCCCUUUGUGUCAGUGCUUCAUCCUUCUUUGGAAGAAAAUAAAGUCUCCGCACAGGCGGCGUUUGAUGCAGGGCUCAUUUGAUCUGGUUGAUUCCGGAAACAGAUGCAUCCUCUUGGUCUCAGCACAAAUUGUUGGGGUUUCUUUUUUCUGGUUUUACCAAAGCCAGAUCUGUGUCUCUAUCAGCACAGAGGAAAAAAGUAAUUACUGAAGUAUUAGUGUGAUUAUUAUUUCCUGAUACGAAUUGCUGCAUUCCUUACUUGUAUCUGGUCCUUUCCCUGGGCUGGAGUUAGGAAAUUGAAAAACAAACUCACCUUGGACAAAGCCUGUAUUGAUUAUCUUUUAAUCUCGUUUGUGUUGGAGAAAGCUUUGAGAGUUUAACGAAAGAGGAAAAACCCUCUCCUUGAAGAAUUCACGUUUUCUCACACCUACAAAAUGGGACGUGAUUUCAAGAGAUUCACAAACCUCUUGAAGCCCCUGAGGACCCUUGAGGAAUCUGUGGACCCUGGUUGAGAACCUCUGGUCUAUACAGUCAAAAAUGAAAUGGGAGAACUGCUUGCUGAAAUUGGACAGUGACAAUUGUCUACUAAUUCUGCAGUACAUUUUGGGAGGUCAGAGUAAACCUGAAUUACAUUCGCCGUGUAGUUGCUCAAGCCUCUGCUAUGGCAUUGAUUCAGUGGGUGGACCUCAGCUUUCCCAAUGCCCACACCUCCAUGCCAACCCAAACAUACGCGAAGGUUCUAGAGAGAGGAGGAAGAGGAGCAGGAAAUCAUUUAAGACUUUUCAUUUUUCAAAGCUUUGCUGGGAUACCUACCCUUGA